rnacentral:miRNA from 1 species
CCCUCUCCACCAACCUCGUG